UCUUAUUUUGUAAUCACUUCUAGUCAGACUGAUCUACUCCCAAAAUUCCAAUCAACACAAAGAUGUACUAACAGCUCCCAAACUUGUAUCUCCAGACCAGAUCUUUUUACAAUGCGUUCAACUCAUUUGUCUGUCUCCCUGACCUGUCUGUCUAGAUUGCACUCAGGCACCCCAUGCUCGGGAAAACUAAAGUCAUGAUUUUCUUGCCCAUUCUCCAUAUUAAAAAAUUAUUGGGUUUUUUUGUUUUGUUUUUUCUUUUCCUAUUUUUAGUAAAUAGCUCCAGUAAUGCUUAGGCCAAAAACCUGGGAGUUAUCCUUAAUGAUUUUCCUCCCUUGCUCUUCAAAUUCAGCCUGUUACCAAUUCUUAGCACUUUUACUCCCUGAGUAUUUUUCAAAACCACCUACUUUUCUCCAUCUCCAUUGCUGCCUCCUCAAACCAGAGCAUAACCAUCCCUACGUCGGUUCAUCCAGUACUUCCUAGCUGGUCCUCUUGCUCUGUUCACUCUUGCCUCUGUUCAAUCUAUUCUCUCCACAGUACUCAGAAUUCUUCAAAUAUAAGUCAAAUCAUUCUUAAAGCACUCUAGGAAAUUCUUAAUGCUAUUUAAAGUGGACCAUAAAGCCUUUCUUGAUCUGCUCCCUGCCUGUUUUUUCAUCCUCUCUUUUGCCCUCUCUCCUGCCAGGGCUGUCACACGUGGUGUCUCCUUUGUCUGUGGCAUUGUUCUCACUGUGGGUUCUCAGCUGGUUAAUUCAUACUAAACCUUCUGGCCUCAACUUAAUCUUACCUCCACAGAAUCCUUCACUAGCUACCCUCCUCCACCAGUGCAGAGGCAACAUAUAUCCUCCUGGAGUGUAUUAUCAUUGCACCAUAUUUUAUCUUUUAUAACUUACCACAUGUAAUAAAUGAAUCACUCACAAGAGAAUGAACAUGGUAACAGCAGGGACUAACUAUGUUGUUUUACUCAUUAUUAUAGUCCUUGUAUCUGACAUGGAAUAGGCUGUAAAUAAAUAAUGAGUGAAUGUUUGCCUAAUAAUUGUUAGACUUUUUAAAUAGCUGCAAGUAAAACAUGGCAGUGCCAAUUCGUCAUAUUAGUGCAUAUGAUAGUCUAUAAUAGUAAGCUUGUAUAUGGUGGGAAAAUGAAAGGAAGUACUUAGUCUUACACCUAAAUACAAUGUACGGCUGUAUCUCUAUAAGAUUUACUGUCUAAGCUUUAGGUAACUUUUUCUGUGGGGAGGAAUGUGCUGCUGUGCAUAAAAGAAAACUAAAAGAUAUAACUAGUUGUGGGUAUUUAUCACCACUUAUAUCUUGGAAGAAGAAAUCCUAGAAGAAAACUUACUUCGUUUAAAAUCAGGGGAUAGCAUGUUGAAGCUAUGAUGAGCUGAUUGUUAAUGCUGUCUCUCCUUGAUUGUUAAUGCUGUCUCUCUUCUUUUCCCACCCACUCAAAAAUUUCCCAUAGCUAAUGUGGUAAUCUCCAUUUUUCAGCAUCACAGAACACAUAGAUUUUGCCACCCCUAUACAGCAGCCAGCAAUGGAGCCUCUUUGCAAUGGCAAUCUCCCCACGAGUAUGCAUACCCUGGACCACUUGCAUGGGGUUUCCAACCGAGCCAGCCUGCACUACACAGGGGAGAGUCAGUUAACAGAGGUAUUACAAAAUCUCGGCAAAGACCAAUAUCCACAACAGUCGCUUGAACAGAUUGGCACCCGAAUUGCCAAAGUUUUGGAAAAGAACCAGACGUCCUGGGUCCUCUCCAGCAUGGCAGCCCUCUACUGGAGGGUGAAAGGCCAAGGAAAGAAGGCAAUCGACUGCCUCCGCCAGGCUCUGCACUAUGCGCCACACCAGAUGAAGGAUGUGCCCCUGAUUAGCCUGGCCAACAUCUUGCACAAUGCCAAGCUCUGGAAUGACGCCGUCAUAGUAGCCACCAUGGCAGUAGAGAUCGCACCACACUUUGCUGUGAACCACUUCACUCUGGGCAAUGUCUACGUGGCAAUGGAAGAAUUUGAAAAAGCACUGGUGUGGUAUGAAUCCACAUUGAAGCUUCAGCCCGAGUUUGUCCCAGCCAAGAACCGAAUCCAGACCAUCCAGUGUCACUUAAUGCUGAAGAAGGGACGGCGCUCUCCUUAGUGCACUUCUUCCUUCUCUCUUUCUCUUUAUUCAUGCUCUAAAAAAAAAAAAAGAAAAGAAAAAAAGAAUAAGAAACCAAUCAUUGUCAGUAUCUACUAUUAAUGAUGUGUGUGAAAAUAACUAAGACUUAUAACAGGACUUUUACAUAUGUGGGAAUUGGUUUGUUUUUGUUUUUACGUUUCUCCUUUCCCCCAACCAACCUCAGAAGAGGCACCUUCAGAAACACACAUUUCUUAAAAGGAAAGUGCAGCUUCAAGAUAUUGUGUAAAUACUGAGCCAAGACAUUUCUGGAGCUGUGCUCUGUCUCCAAAAACCUCAAUGCCUUUAGGGCUUUUCUCAGUGGUCCAGCUAGCCUUCUCUUUGGAGGAGGACGAAGCUGCAUUGCACAUUCUCUGCUUCCUGUCAUAGCCUCUGUUGUCAAUGGAAAUGCGGAAGCCCAUCUGGUGCCCGUCAGUGAGAAGCAACGUUCUGCGCUCUCUCCGUUAGACCUCCAUGCUGUCCCCAGUCUUGUCCAUUCCAUGCUGCUAUGUUACAAACUCUCAGAGGUAGUUUGCAGGGGAGGAAGGGGAAUAUGAUUUUAAAAACAAAAUAUUUACAACAACAAAAAUUCUUAGGAUCACCUGACCUUUGUAAUGUUAUUUAUGUUGGGGAGGGAGGGGGGCUGAGAAGGGGAAAUCAGCAGUGUGCAACAUCUUUAUAAUUUGUACUUUAAUUACAAAUCACAAGGAAACCAAUAAGUUGAAAUCCUAUAUAACAGGUUUAUAUAUAUAGAAUAUGUAUAUUUGAAGCCCUCUACAGACUGAGUCUAUGUUUUACUAAUUCUUUGUUCACUGUGUUACCCAUCUUGGAGUAAGUUGUGAAUGUCAGCUCCCUCUCUCUGAGGCCUCCAGACUUAGCUCCUCAGGAGGGUAAUGAGCCAAGGUUGAGUGUUUCCAUACAAUGCUUUUACCUUUGAUCCCAGGAGAAUCAGAAACUCCAACAUUUUGGAAUCUUCAAGGGCACAUACUGAGAAAAAAAAUAAAAUUGUUUAUGAGC
rnacentral:sRNA from 1 species